UACGAAGGGGGGCUAGCGUUGCUCGGAAUCACUGGGCGUAAAGGGUGCGUAGGCGGGUCUUUAAGUCAGGGGUGAAAUCCUGGAGCUCAACUCCAGAACUGCCUUUGAUACUGAAGAUCUUGAGUUCGGGAGAGGCGAGUGGAACUGCGAGUGUAGAGGUGAAAUUCGUAGAUAUUCGCAAGAACACCAGUGGCGAAGGCGGCUCACUGGCCCGAUACUGACGCUGAGGCACGAAAGCGUGGGGAGCAAACAGG
rnacentral:rRNA from 1 species